rnacentral:sRNA from 2 species
GCGUCGACCGGGUCGGUCGCCCGGGUCACGACCAGGUAGUCGCGCAGCACGAUCGCGUGACGGUUGUC